GCGCCAGUAGCUCAGUUGGAUAGAGUGUUUGACUACGAAUCAAAAGGUCGGGGGUUCGAAUCCCUCCUGGCGUGCCA
rnacentral:tRNA from 1 species